rnacentral:rRNA from 1 species
CCUACGGGAGGCAGCAGUAGGGAAUCUUCCACAAUGGGCGAAAGCCUGAUGGAGCAACGCCGCGUGGGUGAAGAAGGUCUUCGGAUCGUAAAACCCUGUUGUUAGAGAAGAAAGUGCGUGAGAGUAACUGUUCACGUUUCGACGGUAUCUAACCAGAAAGCCACGGCUAACUACGUGCCAGCAGCCGCGGUAAUACGUAGGUGGCCAGCGUUAUCCGGAUUUAUUGGGCGUAAAGGGAACGCAGGCGGUCUUUUAAGUCUGAUGUGAAAUCCUUCGGCUUAACCGGAGUAGGGCAUUGGAAACUGGGAGACUUGAGUGCAGAAGAGGAGAGUUGAACUCCAUGUGUAGCGGUGAAAUGCGUAGAUAUAUGGAAGAACACCAGUGGCGAAAGCGGCUCUCUGGUCUGUAACUGACGCUGAGGUUCGAAAGCGUGGGUAGCAAACAGGAUUAGAUACCCCAGUAGUC